rnacentral:rRNA from 1 species
UACGGGGGGGGCAAGCGUUGUUCGGAGUUACUGGGCGUAAAGGGUGUGUAGGCGGUUCUUUAAGUUUGGUGUGAAAUCUCCCGGCUUAACCGGGAGGGUGCGCCGAAUACUGAGGGACUAGAGUGCGGGAGAGGAAAGUGGAAUUCCUGGUGUAGCGGUGAAAUGCGUAGAUAUCAGGAGGAACACCGGUGGUGUAGACGGCUUUCUGGACCGUAACUGACGCUGAGACACGAAAGCGUGGGUAGCAAACAGG